rnacentral:tRNA from 1 species
UGCAGUAUUGCUCAGUAGUAGAUCACUUGCUUAGCAUGCAUGAGGCCCCGGGUUCAAACCCCAGUACCACAA